rnacentral:rRNA from 1 species
UCAAGUUAUUAAGGGUGCAGGGCGAAUGCCUUGGCACUAGGAGCCGAUGAAGGACGUGAUAAGCUGCGAUAAGCUUCGGGGAGUUGCACGUAAACUUUGAUCCGAAGAUUUCCGAAUGAGGAAACUCACUUAGAGUAAUGUCUAAGUAUCGUAUGAUGAAUACAUAGUCAUGCGAGGGGAACCCGGAGAACUGAAACAUCUAAGUACCCGGAGGAAGAGAAAGAAAUUCGAUUCCGUAAGUAGCGGCGAGCGAACGCGGAACAGGCCAAACCAGUGAAGUUUUCUUCGCUGGGGUUGCGGACAUAUCAUAACGAAGAGGUAUCGUAGAAGAAGAGAGUUGGAAAGCUCCGCCACAGAUGGUAACAGCCCAGUAUUUUAAACGAGAAGACUUUAGAUAUGAUCCAGAGUACCACGGGACACGUGAAACCCUGUGGGAAGCAGGAGGGACCAUCCUCCAAGCCUAAAUACUACCUAGUGACCGAUAGCGUAUAGUACCGUGAGGGAAAGGUGAAAAGAACCCCGGGAGGGGAGUGAAAGAGAACCUGAAACCCUGCACUUACAAGCUGUAGGAGCACAUUAUUUGUGUGACUGCGUACUUUUUGUAGAACGGGCCAACGAGUUACGUUGUGUAGCAAGGUUAAGCACUUAAGGUGUGGAGCCGUAGCGAAAGCGAGUCUUAAAUGGGCGUCCAGUUACCCGACGUAGACCCGAAACCAGGCGACCUAUCCAUGAGCAGGUUGAAGCGAAAGUAAAAUUUCGUGGAGGACCGAACCCACGUACGUUGAAAAGUGCGGGGAUGACUUGUGGAUAGCGGUGAAAUUCCAAUCGAGCCUGGAGAUAGCUGGUUCUCCCCGAAAUAGCUUUAGGGCUAGCCUCAAGCUUAGAGAAACGGAGGUAGAGCACUGAAUGUCCUAGGGGGUAUUGCACUUACCGAAGACUAUCAAACUCCGAAUGCCGUAUUCUUUUGCUUGGGAGUCAGACUAUGGGUGAUAAGAUUCAUAGUCAAGAGGGCAACAGCCCAGAUCGUCAGCUAAGGUCCCUAAAUGUAAGUUAAGUGGUAAAGGAUGUGGAAUUGCACAGACAACCAGGAUGUUGGCUUAGAAGCAGCCACUCAUUUAAAGAGUGCGUAAUAGCUCACUGGUCGAGUGAUUCUGCGCCGAAAAUUUCCGGGGCUAAAACUUACUACCGAAGCUACGGCAUCAUUAUGAUGGGUAGGGGAGCUUUCUAUGCGGCUUGAAGCAUGACCGUAAGGACAUGUGGACUGCAUAGAAGUGAGAAUGUUGGCAUGAGUAGCGAGAUGUGGGUGAGAAUCCCACAGGCCGUAAACCCAAGGUUUCCAGGGGAAGGUUCGUCCGCCCUGGGUUAGUCAGGACCUAAGCCGAGGCCGAAAGGCGUAGGUGAUGGACAACAGGUUGAUAUUCCUGUACCACCAAUAACCGUUUGAGAAAUGGGAUGACACAGUAGGAUAAGCUAACCGCACUGUUGGUUAUGUGCGGGCAAGUAUUGAGGCAGUUCCGAUAGGCAAAUCCGUCGGAAUAAUGCUGGGGUACGAUGCGGAGCGAAAUUAAGUAGCGAAGUAGCUGAUUUCACACUGUCGAGAAAAGUCUCUAUCGAGGUUAAAGGUGCCUGUACCGCAAACCGACACAGGUGGGUGAGGAGAGUAUCCUAAGGCCAGCGAGAGAACUGUUGUUAAGGAACUCGGCAAAAUGACCCCGUAACUUCGGGAGAAGGGGUGCCUUCGAAAGAAGGCCGCAGAGAAUAGGCCCAAGCGACUGUUUACCAAAAACAUAGGUUUCUGCUAAGUCGCAAGACGAUGUAUAGGAGCUGACGCCUGCCCGGUGCUGGAAGGUUAAGGGGAUCUGUUAGAGCAAUCGAAGCAGUGAACUUAAGCCCCAGUAAACGGCGGCCGUAACUAUAACGGUCCUAAGGUAGCGAAAUUCCUUGUCGGGUAAGUUCCGACCCGCACGAAAGGCGUAACGAUUUGGGCACUGUCUCAACAACAGACUCGGUGAAAUUGUAAUACCGGUGAAGAUGCCGGUUACCUGCGACAGGACGGAAAGACCCCAUGGAGCUUUA